rnacentral:lncRNA from 1 species
AUCGGACAAGGACUGAAGGAUCACAUCAAUCUGAAAAUCUUUGUCUAAGAUGAUACCGAGCUUCUCAAGCUCCUCAAGGUCCUUGAUCACUAUCAAACAAUGAUCUUGGACUGACUGCCCAUCAUGUAUUUUAGCCUUAAAAAGUCUUUGGCAGACUUGAUACUUGGCUGCGUGACUUUGUUCACCAAACAACUCUUGUAG